GUAGGUGAACCUGCGGAAGGAUCAUUAACACGUUUUCAACGUUUUGACCCUAUUUCUUUUUUCCGUGCACCCGGCCUCCCAACCUUUCCUCUCAGUUUAUUCUGUCUGUGAUCGUGCUGGGCGCCUUCGGGGUAACAUAAAAGUCUUUAAUUCUGAAACGGCUUAGUUCUCUCAUGGAGACAACUAACCGUCUUUAGUUCUGAAACAGCUUAGUUCUCUCAUGGAGACAACUAACCUCUAGUACGAAUCGCGGACUUUUCCCGCUGGUGUUGCCAAACAACCCAAACCCUUAAAUCUAAUUGCUCUAAACUCUUUAGUUGCGGAUACAAUUAUGAAUUGUUUCAACAACGAAUUAAAAACAAACAACAACUCUUAACAACGGAUACCUUGGUUCUC
rnacentral:misc_RNA from 1 species